UACGUAGGCAGCAAGCGUUGUCCGGAAUCAUUGGGCGUAAAGCGCGUGUAGGCGGUCCGAUAAGUUCGCUGUGAAAGUCGGGGGCUUAACCCUCGGAUGCCGGUGAAUACUGUCGGGCUUGAGUACGGAAGAGGCGAGUGGAAUUCCUGGUGUAGCGGUGAAAUGCGCAGAUAUCAGGAGGAACACCAAUUGCGAAGGCAGCUCGCUGGGACGUUACUGACGCUGAGACGCGAAAGCGUGGGGAGCAAACAGG
rnacentral:rRNA from 1 species